AGGCUCAAAUUUUUAGAGAAGUUAUUUACAUGUGGAUGCUAAAACACUUAUUUUCCUCAACUCUAAUCCACCCCCCCCCCCGACUCUGAAAAUCACUCAUAAAUCUUUGGAUAUGCUUUAUCCUCCCUUUUGAUACUUUCAUUUGGGAAAAUACUACAUUCCAGGCAGAACUUUCCAGUGCCCUUUCCACUGAGUUGCCAUGACCUUGGCAAAUAUCUCCCUGAUGUAAAUAUUUGCUCAUGAUCCCUCAAAAUAUUUCAACAAUCCUGGACAAAGUAAAAUACUUUUCUCAGCAGCAAUAUUAGUGUUGCUUUUUCUUGGAUCAUUUUAAAAUUAUGGUAGUAAACAUUUAGGAAGGCACCAGAACACAACAGAUUAUAUAUUUUUCCGUGGCAAACUUUAUUUCAAAUUUGUUUUCUUUUUUGCCUUUUCCUCAAAGAAGGAGCAACGGAUACUGGUAAUCCAAAUGUGCCAUUUAUUCAGGGAGCAGUCAUAAAAACUGAAGUUAAACCUUUUUUUUUUUUCACAUUUCAUGCACCACAGGCCCUCGUAUAUGGAGUUUGCAAGUUUUUGACAUCAGCUGAGUUUUGCAAAUCUUUUGCAAAAGCACCGAGUUUAUACCAUGCAGACCUAUUGGUAAUCCACCCCUCUGGUUUCCUUCCUACUGAGUUUAUUGUUCAAACUCACAGGUAAAGCAGUAUGAUCCUGAGGCUCUUGCAGGCAGCUGGAAGCACACAGAGCAAGACUCACCCACUGAUUCCUUUGGUUUUCUUGAGCUUUUGAACUGCUUUGACUUGGAGAGGUUGAAGACAAGCCAUCUGGCUCCGGGUGCUUCUAAGACACGGCUUCCAGCCUACCUCCGACAAGGUGACCCACCCUCUGGACCAAGCAGGACAACGCUUCCUGAGGCCACUCUCAAGCACCUUGGACAGAUAGCAAGAGAAAAAUACCCAUAUCCAUCGCUACACUCACUUGUCAGCUCUGAAGUAGCUAUAGAAGCCGGAACUCUGCCCAUUUAUCCCCAUAAAAGAAUUAUGUUAUUUUUUCUUGAGGGGGGAUAUGUUAGGUAGGAAGUCAGAAAUUAAGCCUAUGUGUGUAUGAGAAAGGCCAGAAGACCAGCACCCACUGCGGAAGCUCCAGAAGCCCAGCAUCUUGCACUUCAAAGUCCUGACCCUUCUACUCAAUAAUCUUCCAGGUGCAGCCUAGUAUUGGCACCUCAAAGUCCCACCUGGAAUUAACAGUAAAACUACUACUCAAACAGUACUCUAGACUUUGUGUGUCUGUGUGGGUGCAGUCUGUUGAAAUCUUUACUUGGUAUAUACUAAGUUGAUCUUCUGUAUAUAAAGAUAAUUGAAAAUGAAUCAUGAUGAUGAAUGGGAUGGGAGAGAGUGGGAGAUUGGAUGGUUGCGGGUGGGAGGGAGGUUAUGGAAGGAAAAGCCGCUAAAAUUCAAAAAUUGUGCUUUGGAAAUUUAUAUUUAUUAAAUAAAAGUUAAAAAACAAAACA
rnacentral:lncRNA from 1 species